rnacentral:misc_RNA from 1 species
CUCGGACGCAGUCGCGAGGAGCGCGGGAUGUAGGACUCUCGAGCACAAAGACGACUUGCUUGUAUCUCGCGAGGCGGGAAGGAUACGGUUAACGGUUAGCUUUGUCGGCAAGGAGAAGAGUAUGAGGGGCAACCGCACGAGAAGCGCGCAAACGGGAUGCUCACGCUUACAGCGACCCGAUACAGGCUCUCUCGACUCCGCAACCCCGCUACAUCGAGCUCCCUGCCCUCCCUCCGACGUCGCCCUCAUUCUCCACCCCGAUGAUCCCCUCUCCGCCUCUGACUCCUUCAGCUCGUCUCCAAGCCGGCUCUCCGGGCAUUGGCGGCGCGCGGAAGACCUUAAGAGCCAGAGAGACCCUCGACAUCGCUGUCAAUCCGACAGGAACGAAGGAACGGGCGUCUGGAGGCAGUAGCUGCAGUCCCUUGACAGCAGUAUGCGUCGCCUAAACCGUUCCCUGGUCGAUCGUCUCCACUCCUGAAGACGCUUCACGCCGCCGGCUCACUCACGACGACUCUCGAUCACUCGCUCCUCCCCAUUCCUCCCGAGCCAGCCUCUGCCCGUCUGACCUCGCCUCUCCAUCUGCACGACGAGAAGGAACCGCAAUCUCACCCCGCAACUCCGCUCGUCUCUCGCGCCGUUGAGUGUGCCGUCAGACAAGCAGGGCUAGGCAAAGCGGAAGGUGGACUGAGCGACGAGGAGGAUGUUGAGCGGCGGCACUUCGCUGACUUGCCAUGCUCCCCUCCCUCGCACGCGUAG